rnacentral:rRNA from 2 species
UUAAUUGAAGAGUUUGAUCAUGGCUCAGAUUGAACGCUGGCGGCAGGCCUAACACAUGCAAGUCGAGCGGCAGCACAAGGGAGUUUACUCCUGAGGUGGCGAGCGGCGGACGGGUGAGUAAUGCCUAGGGAUCUGCCCAGUCGAG